GAAUCUUCCGCAAUGGACGAAAGUCUGACGGAGCAACGCCGCGUGAGUGAUGAAGGUUUUCGGAUCGUAAAGCUCUGUUGCCAGGGAAGAACGCUUGGGAGAGUAACUGCUCUCAAGGUGACGGUACCUGAGAAGAAAGCCCCGGCUAACUACGUGCCAGCAGCCGCGGUAAUACGUAGGGGGCAAGCGUUGUCCGGAAUUAUUGGGCGUAAAGCGCGCGCAGGCGGUUCAUUAAGUCUGGUGUUUAAGGCUAGGGCUCAACCCUGGUUCGCACUGGAAACUGUUGAACUUGAGUGCAGAAGAGGAAAGUGGAAUUCCACGUGUAGCGGUGAAAUGCGUAGAGAUGUGGAGGAACACCAGUGGCGAAGGCGACUUUCUGGGCUGUAACUGACGCUGAGGCGCGAAAGCGUGGGGAGAAAACAG
rnacentral:rRNA from 1 species